rnacentral:ncRNA from 1 species
CACCGCCCAUCACACUAUGGGAACUGGCUAUGCCUAAAGUUGUUACCUUAACUGCAAUGAGGGGGAUGCCGAAGGCAAGGUUAGUGGAUGGAGUGAAGUCAUAACAAGGUAGUUGUAUUGAAAGUAGAGGCG